rnacentral:rRNA from 1 species
GUUUGAUCAUGGCUCAGAUUGAACGCUGGCGGCAUGCCUUACACAUGCAAGUCGAACGGCAGCACGGGAGCAAUCCUGGUGGCGAGUGGCGAACGGGUGAGUAAUAUAUCGGAACGUGCCCAGUCGUGGGGGAUAACGCAGCGAAAGCUGUGCUAAUACCGCAUACGAUCUACGGAUGAAAGCGGGGGAUCGCAAGACCUCGCGCGAUUGGAGCGGCCGAUAUCAGAUUAGCUAGUUGGUGGGGUAAAGGCCCACCAAGGCGACGAUCUGUAGCUGGUCUGAGAGGACGACCAGCCACACUGGAACUGAGACACGGUCCAGACUCCUACGGGAGGCAGCAGUGGGGAAUUUUGGACAAUGGGCGCAAGCCUGAUCCAGCAAUGCCGCGUGCAGGAUGAAGGCCUUCGGGUUGUAAACUGCUUUUGUACGGAACGAAAAGGUCCUUUCUAAUAAAGAGGGCCCAUGACGGUACCGUAAGAAUAAGCACCGGCUAACUACGUGCCAGCAGCCGCGGUUA